GCGGAGGAAAAGAAACCAACAGGGAUUGCCCUAGUAACGGCGAGUGAAGCGGCAACAGCUCAAAUUUGAAAUCUGGCUCUCUUUGGGGGUCCGAGUUGUAAUUUGCAGAGGAUGCUUUGGCAUUGGCGGCGGUCUAAGUUCCUUGGAACAGGACAUCGCAGAGGGUGAGAAUCCCGUACGUGGGCGCCUGCCUUUGCCGUGUAAAGCUCCUUCGACGAGUCGAGUUGUUUGGGAAUGCAGCUCUAAAUGGGAGGUAAAUUUCUUCUAAAGCUAAAUACCGGCCAGAGACCGAUAGCGCACAAGUAGAGUGAUCGAAAGAUGAAAAGUACUUUGGAAAGAGAGUCAAAAAGCACGUGAAAUUGUUGAAAGGGAAGCGCUUGCAGCCAGACUUGCCCGCAGUUGCUCACCUAGGCUUUGGCCUGGGGCACUCUUCUGCGGGCAGGCCAGCAUCAGUUUGGGCGGUCGGACAAAGGCCUCUGUCAAGUAUCUCCCUUCGGGGUGACCUUAUAGGGGAGGCGUAAUGCGACCAGCCCGGACUGAGGUCCGCGCAUCUGCUAGGAUGCUGGCGUAAUGGCUGUAAGCGGCCCGUCUUGAAACACGGACCAAGGAGUCUAACAUCUAUGCGAGUGUUUGGGUGUCAAGCCCGGGCGCGCAAUGAAAGUGAACGGAGGUGGGAACCCUUUGGGUGCACCAUCGACCGAUCCUGAUGUCUUCGGAUGGAUUUGAGUAAGAGCAUAGCUGUUGGGACCCGAAAGAUGGUGAACUAUGCUUGAAUAGGGUGAAGCCAGAGGAAACUCUGGUGGAGGCUCGCAGCGGUUCUGACGUGCAAAUCGAUCGUCAAAUUUGGGCAUAGGGGCGAAAGACUAAUCGAACCAUCUAGUAGCUGGU
rnacentral:sRNA from 1 species